AAUAGAUACCCNAGGUAGUCCACGCCGUAAACGAUGAGUGCUAAGUGUUGGGGGGGUUUUCCGCCCCCUCAGUGCUGCAGCUAACGCAUUAAGCACUCCGCCUGGGGAGUACGGCCGCAAGGCUGAAACUCAAAGGAAUUGACGGGGGCCCGCACAAGCGGUGGAGCAUGUGGUUUAAUUCGAAGCGACGCGAAGAACCUUACCAGGUCUUGACAUCCCGCUGCCCGGUAUAGAGAUAUACCUUUCCCUUCGGGGACAGCGGCGACAGGUGGUGCAUGGUUGUCGUCAGCUCGUGUCGUGAGAUGUUGGGUUAAGUCCCGCAACGAGCGCAACCCUUGAUCUUAGUUGCCAGCAUUUAGUUGGGCACUCUAAGGUGACUGCCGGUGACAAACCGGAGGAAGGUGGGGAUGACGUCAAAUCAUCAUGCCCCUUAUGACCUGGGCUACACACGUGCUACAAUGGAUGGUACAAAGGGCUGCAAGACCGCGAGGUUUAGCCAAUCCCAUAAAAACCCAUUCUCAGUUCGGAUUGCAGG
rnacentral:rRNA from 1 species